rnacentral:rRNA from 1 species
GCGCACGCUGGCGGCAGGCCUAACACAUGCAAGUCGAACGCACCUUUCGGGGUUAGUGGCGGACGGGUGAGUAACACGUGGGAACGUGCCUUUAGGUUCGGAAUAACUCAGGGAAACUUGUGCUAAUACCGAAUGUGCCCUUCGGGGGAAAGAUUUAUCGCCUUUAGAGCGGCCCGCGUCUGAUUAGCUAGUUGGUUGAGGUAAUGGCUCACCAAGGCGACGAUCAGUAGCUGGUCUGAGAGGAUGAUCAGCCACAUUGGGACUGAGACACGGCCCAAACUCCUACGGGAGGCAGCAGUGGGGAAUCUUGCGCAAUGGGCGAAAGCCUGACGCAGCCAUGCCGCGUGAAUGAUGAAGGUCUUAGGAUUGUAAAAUUCUUUCACCGGGGACGAUAAUGACGGUACCCGGAGAAGAAGCCCCGGCUAACUUCGUG